CCUACGGGAGGCAGCAGUGGGGGAUAUUGCACAAUGGGGGAAACCCUGAUGCAGCGACGCCGCGUGGGGGAAGAAGUAUUUCGGUAUGUAAAGCCCUAUCAGCAGGGAAGAAAGAAGACGGUACCUGACUAAGAAGCCACUGCUAACUACGUGCCAGCAGCCGCGGUAAUACGCAGGGGGCGAGCGUUAUCCGGAUUCACUGGGGGGAAAGGGAGAGUAGACGGACGUGGAAGCCAGGAGUGAAAGCACGGUGCCCAACCCCAGGACUGCUCUUGGAACUGUGCGGCUAGAGUACAGGAGAGGCAGGCGGAAUUCGUGGUGUAGCGGUGAAAUGCGAAGAUAUCAGGAAGAACACCGACGGCGAAGGCGGCUUACUGGACCGCGACUGACGUUGAGGCUCGAAAGCGUGGGGAGCAAACAGGAUUAGAUACCCGGGUAGUC
rnacentral:rRNA from 1 species